rnacentral:lncRNA from 1 species
GUGAGUGCGGGAGGCCGCCGCUGGCCUGGGAAGAGGGGAGCGGGUUAGGAGCGCGGGGUCGGAGCGGAACCCCUGCACCCCCCCUCCUCCCAGGACUAGGGAUCUGCCGCUAGAGGCGGGGGCCCAAAGCCCCCCGCUGGGCCCGGGCGAGGAUGGGCGGGCAGGAGGCGGAGCGCAGCGCGGCGCUGCGCUGGGCGGCGGGAAAGGGGCGGGGAGGACAGCUCAGGCUUAAGCGGGCAGAGGGACGGUGGCAGAACCUGCGGGCUAGGUGGGAGGCUCACCCACAGGGAGGAAGGGAAGCGAGGACCGCCGCUGCUGAGGAGCGAGGAGACGCUUGGAGUCCAGGGGUCAGGCCGCUGCCACCUCCUCCUGCAGCGGAGACAGCACAGCCAGCGGGCGCACUGGCCGCAACGGCAACCCUCCGCGCAGGUGGGCACCCCCGAGCGCGGCGCUCUGCCCCUUCUCGGACCGCCGCGGGCCGGAUGCCCUCCUUUCCAGGCCACUGAGUUCGGGGGCGAGGGCUGGGCAGGUCUGGGGGUAGGAGGAAUGUGCACGGCUCCUUGGUGUGCACGCUUGUGCGCGCGCGCUGUGCUAGGUGGGGAAGAGGUGCGGGAAAGCAGCCUCCCUCAGGAUUUACUCCCUCGGGUCUCGCUGUCCCCACCCCCACUCUCUUCUGACCAGCAGAGCUCUCGAGCGGCUUUAGAGAACUGCGACCCCCUCCCUCGUCCGCAAUCUCGGUGGUGUGUGCACUUCGCCCCCCUCUUCACAAUCCACACCCAGCAACCAUCAGGACGCCCCCUGCUCUGUAGGAACCUUGGGAGAAGAGAGAGUGGUGGCAAGACCAGCCAGGGUGUGUUCGGGGAAGGCAGGAGUUGCUGGAGUAUUGUCUGCCGGGGACGGUGCCUGAGCCCGCGCGCUCCCUCGCGCUUUCAGGGCCAGAGUUGGGGGCGGGGGGCGGGCGCGGGGGGUUUGCUGAACUUAUCUCCGAAGGCUGACUGUGCACAUGCACUUGGCGACUUGUGCACGUUUGGACGAGGACUUAAUGGAGGCACGUGGGAGCAGGAUCGGUCGCUGGCGGGCCCCCAAAGAGCCUCUUGGCUCUUGGGAUGGCCCAGCGCGUGUUCUGGGGUGGGAAGGAAGGGAGAGUGUGCGUGUGUGUGAAUGUCCGUCCUAGGGAGGAGAAGGAGGAGAGUGGCUCGAGGAGACUUGAUUUUCUUGGAUUUGCUGCCAGUCCGUAAACCAAACCAGGCUUUCGAGGCGCUAAAGUAAAUUACCGGUGGCAGUGUAGAAGCCAAAACGGGAGCUUCCAGAAGUGGUUUCUGAAAAAUAAGAGUGAAUAUACAUGAGUAAGCAAGCACAAGAAUCUGAAAAACCACAGUCCUUUGUUGUACUUUGGAGGGGAGAGAGUCCCGGGUCAGCUCACCCCGCCAUUUUGCUCCCUGACCGGAAAUAGGAUACUAAUUGAGAUGCAUUUGCAGCCUUCCUACCAGUUGGCCAGCUCCAGACACCCGAACCACCUAUUCUGACAACAUCCCUUUUUGGUAUUCAACCUAUAGAUGGAAUGUCUUAAGCAUGGAGUUGACGUCAUACUAGAGUUACCUGAAAACUCCACAAACCGGUAUGUAAAGUUAGUAGUCUAUUAGGGUUUUAUGGAUUGCUUCUUACUUACUCCAUUUGUUUUCCAUUUUAACGUUACUAGAAACAUCCUUAAGUUUGUUAGUAUUUUAUUUUAUUGUUACUAUUUUAAGUUAAUGUUUAUUAUACUUCCUUCCCCUUUAUUUUUACCAUUAUGAUGACCUGCAGUAUUAUUCUUUUAGUAGAGGUGGAGAGGUGGCUAAAAAAGUAUCAAGUGACCAGAGUUCUCACCUCUUUCUAACCUUUGGGAAUUCAGUUUAUUUCUGGGAGCCUUGGGUUCUUCAUUUUUACAAUGCAGGAUUAGACUGGGUGAUUUUUAUACUUCAGUCACCCAUUUCUUAACAAAAGUCUUAUACCUAUUAUACAUCUGCUGUGGACUGAAUGUUUGUGUCCAGCUCCCCAAGUUCAUUUGUUUAAAUCCCAAUGUGAGGAUAUUAGGAGGUGGGCCUUUGGGAGGUGAUUAGGUCAUGAGGCCUUUGCCCUCAUGGAUGAGAUUAGAGACCUGGGAGAGCUCCCUUGCCCUCUUCCACCAAGCCAGGCUGCAGUGAAAAGAUGAUUGUCAGUGAGGUAACAGGCCUUCACCAGACACCGAAUCUGCCAGCACCAUGAUCUUGUACUUCCCAACCUCCAGAACUGUGAGAAAUAAAUGUUGUUUAUAAGCCAUCCAGUUUAUGGUAUUUCUGUUAUACCAUCCCAAACAGCCUAAGACAACUUCCAAGUGACGAUAUUGCCUACUCAGUUGGAUAGCUGAGUAUUUCUUCAGUUUAGCCAUCCAAGCUGAAGCUAGACAUUUGGGAGCCAUCAGUGCAUAGAUGGCAUUCAAAAUCAUGAGCUCAAAUGAGGCCACCCAGGGAGGAAGUCGUAGAAGAGAAGAGGAGCCAGCUGAGCACUCAGCCCUGGGACACUCUACUAUUGAUAGUAAAGGAGAAUAGAAGGAACCAAUAAAAGACUGAGCAACUGUAGCCAGGAAGGUAGGAGGAAAACCAGUAAGACUGAGUGUCUUAGGAAUCAGGUAUGUUUCAAGGAGAAAAGAGUGUUCAAUUGCAUCAAAUGUGGCUGAUAGUUUGGGUAAGAUAAGGACUGAAAAUUUGCCAUUGGCUGUAGCAAUGUGGCGGUCUUGGGAGACCCUGACAAGCACUGUUUUGGUGAAGGAAUGGUGGAGAGGGAGCACGGUUUACUGGAGUGAGUUCAAGAGAGCGUGGGGAGAAGGGAAUUAGAGCUAGUAUAGCAACUCUCUGAAGGAGAUUUGCUGUAAGUGGGAACAGAGAAAUGGGGCUGUAGCUGGAAGGGAACAUGAGGUCAAGGUUCUCCUUUUUUUUUUAAGGUGGGAGAAAUUGAGUAAUUGGAAUGAUGUUUAUAUGCUGAUACAAAUGAUCCGGUAGCAGGAGAAAUGUUAAUGAGACAGGAGAUGGUGGGGACAGUUGCAGAACUGAUGUCUUUGAGGAGGCAAGAAAAAUCUAGUACAUAAGUGGGUUGGCUUUAGCUAGGAGUUCAGUAUAUUCAUAGGAGAGAAGGUAGAGUAGGUGGACACGUUGGAAGUCAUUAACACUAAUAUCAAAUAUGUUUCACUCUCUCCCUUCUGGACACAUGGUAGGAUUGUACUUCCUCCCCUUAUGGCUUGGUGGGAUCAUGUAACUGGUUGUGGCUAGUGAAUUAUGUUAAGCAGCACACGAUGUCUCUGUGCUAUAGCAUUUAAUUGUUAGCAUGAAAAUCUUCAAAAGUUAUUUUCCCCUCUGCCACAUUGACUAGUAAUGUUCCAGAAACUGGCUGCUCAUCAACCUGCAUCCCCAAGUAAGGAAAACAUGGAGCAGAGCCCCUGACUAACCAUUAUAGGCAUCUAGUGUCCUUUGUAGUUUUAAGUUGUUGUAGCAUAAACUAGUCUAUCCUGAGUGAUGUGGGCACAGAUGUAUAUAGGGGGACAGAUGUGAUGGUGGGGGCUUCUGGAAAGUCUGUUAUGAUUGCAUCUGGUGUUUCAGUGAAACAGGAAGCUGAGAGUGAGAAUUGGUGAGAAGGCCCUGGAGAUUUGAAGAGAGAGCAAAGGAGAUGAAAUAGUCAUUUGGGAGAAUUUGAGAGUAACUGGACCAGAAAAAUGUAUCAUGAUUAUCAGACAACACUCAGGGCCCACUUGUGGUUGGUGGCCAUGAUUAAAGUGAGUGUCAGUGUGCAUAUGUUUUUCUUCCAUCGCAGUUGACUGAGUGGGCACAGACAUGGUGUAGACUAAGAAUUGGGUUUAAGGAGGGAUUAGGUCUUGCCAAGUGACAAUGACAAAGGGAGGGAGUGGUAAGGAGUUGAAGAUACAUACAAGAGAGUGAUUAUAUAACAUAUUCUUUUAGGACUUUUAAUUCGCCUCAGGCAUAUUCUUAGGGUAGUUAACAUCGAGGACUGAGAAGCAUAAUAAAAAUCAAACUCGUGUCAUGUAGAGGUUGGUUUAAAGUUUAUAAAGCACUUUUGCACAUGCAGGAAUGUGAGAAAGGGUAGGUGAUACCAUGGGUUUGGCCAUAGAACAGUCCAGCUCUUCUUUUCUUGAGGGAUAAGGAGAGGCCUUUUGUAUGCCCAUGUUUAUCCCCUGUGCCUCAUGAAGUCCUGCCGUGGGGGGCCUCUUCCUUUUCUUUUAUUCCUUUCUUUCUUUCUUUUUUUCCCCUAUGUUUUUCUGUUUAAAAUAUCUGCACCUGUCAUUUGUGGUUUAAGCUUGCAUGAUAUUCCUUUUUCUUCUUUUGCCUUUGUUUCUUUGUGGGGUUUGGCUCUCUCUUGGACAUAUGGGGUGCUGUAUCACAAUUCAGAAUUAGACCCAAGGGUUGUAUCUGUAAGCCCAAAUCACCCACCAUUAGAAGUGUAAGUCAUCCCCCUAGGUAAACUAUGAAUUCUCCAAGUUAUAAGUGAGGAAACUGAAGCCUGAGGUUACUUGUAUUAUUUACACAGUCAUGGGGAAUUAUUACCUUCGCACACCCUAGCGCUUUUUUUGAUUUGAGACUUUUUUCCGUUUGUAUAGAAAGUGUUGACUAUUAAUGGUAGGAAUUGUCCCUAAUUCUUCCAGUUGGUUUUAUGUGCAGAGUAUACCUCUUCUAGACCUCUUAGAUCUAAAUAAUGUCCCAAAGGACAUUCAAUCAAAGCUUCCGUUCUCUUUGCAGCUUCUAGGUGUGGAGGCUGAUUCUAAUUCUGGAACUGUUUAUAAGGAUGCCUUGUAUUGGUGUCAGGUCACUAGAAAGCCAGAGGGGAGAGAUAGUUCUAAGAGAUGUUAAAUGUGUAUCUGUUUCUUUCUUUAGACAGUGACAGGAGAGGGCUGGUUUGAGGAGACCCUGCUGUCUGCUUUGGUGCUGAGCUUGAACCUUGGGCUGAGGAUCCCAGGUGCUCAUUCUCAUCACCAUUUGGUCUACCCUGCAUGAUCUGAGAGGGAGGAAGAAGCUCACUGGGGGGACCCUCUGUGCAGUACCAGAGAGAAGCCAUUUAUACAUGUUGAUCGUGCCAUUGGUGCAUCAGGGCUGGUGUCGGGAGCCGGGUGCUGCCCAUGAAGUGAGAAGGGACAGGUUUGGCCACUGGGAGAAGUCAUCUCUGGCCUCCAUGAGUCCCCAGUGCUCUUGUUAGCACUUUCUUCUUUAUAUAUCAAAGAUCUUUGAUACUUCCUAUUAAAACAUGAACAUCUUUGAGAAGGUGAAGGACAGGGCCAGGCCUUGCAUACUUCAUAGUUUAAGCCCCUAUCUGCUCAGCAGCAUGUGAGUUUGGGGACUUUGUAAAGUCUCCUCUGUCCUUUAUUCCUCAGACCCCCACCAGAAGGUACCUGAGUAUGUACCUACUUCAACCUUUCCUAGACCAGUAUCCCCACUGAGGGCUCACCCAGGAUAAAGCCUCACAAGUUUGCUCCUCUGGUUUUUGAUCUCCUUUACCUCUGGGACAGUGCUCCAUGUUGGUGAUAGUGGCACCAGGUACAAAUUAAUUGAGAUGGGACAGAAGUAAGAAAAAUCAUGGCGUGCCCAUAUGGGCUUUGGAAACUAGCUUUUACUUUUUUUUUUUUUAAUAGACUACAGUUUGUAGAGGAGCAUGCAAAUCACAUAGAAUCUAUGCAAAUAUAUUUCCUAUCUUGUUUGUGAUUUCACAUAGCUGAGUAAUGCCUCUGGUGAAAUUCAAACGAGACUGUUCUUCUGAAUCAUAGAUCCCAAAAGUCAAGGAGUCAUGAGCUAUUGGGAAAUUAAUUCAGUUAUAUAGUACCUGUUUUUUAAUCUCAAAGGCCGAGAUAUAGACAUGCUCAUUACAUUUCUAUUACAGGGGAAAUAGUCUUGGACAUUCCAGUCCAUUCCCUUAUGUAAUCAUUCUUACAGUGGAAAGUUGAAAUCACGAGCUUUAGAAAAUGUGCAGUUUCCUUUUCCGAAAGGAAGACUGGGCGAAUGAAAGUUUGCCCGGCCUUUCUCCCCUGUCAACUUAAAGAGUUAUUGUUCUUACAAAUGUUGUCUCCUUAGAGUAACUUUUACAUUUCAGAGGAUUGCAUGAUGGAUCAGUGUUUAGAGUAGUGGGGAAGUAAAGAGAGGUUUGGUAGAGGGGGAGCCCGUGUGGGGACCAUUCAUGAAGUCUCACUUGCUCAUAAUGCUUGUACACUCCCUCUACGCAUGAAUUAUUCAUUUUGCUGUCUUGGUUAUAAUAGCCACAGUGUUCGGUCUCUAAGACUGUCUUGUGAUAUAUUCUUCUUUUGCUAAAAGGCUGCAUAUCAGCAGCCUCAUUUGAUUUAGAAGCCAAUUCAGCAUGCCAUGCAUACCAUUCGAGAAGAACGUCACGAUCCUUCCUGCUAUAAAAAUAUCAUACAUGCU